rnacentral:tRNA from 1 species
GGAGUUGUGACUCAGUGGUAGAGCGCUUGCCUAGCUUGCAAGGCACUGGGUUCGAUUCUCAGCACCA